GAACGAACGCUGGCGGCAGGCCUAACACAUGCAAGUCGAGCGGACCUUUCGGGGUCAGCGGCGGACGGGUGAGUAACGCGUGGGAAUAUGCCCUUCUCUACGGAAUAGUCCUGGGAAACUGGGGGUAAUACCGUAUACGCCCUUUGGGGGAAAGAUUUAUCGGGGAAGGAUUAGCCCGCGUUGGAUUAGGUAGUUGGUGGGGUAAUGGCCUACCAAGCCGACGAUCCAUAGCUGGUUUGAGAGGAUGAUCAGCCACACUGGGACUGAGACACGGCCCAGACUCCUACGGGAGGCAGCAGUGGGGAAUCUUAGACAAUGGGGGCAACCCUGAUCUAGCCAUGCCGCGUGAGUGAUGAAGGCCUUAGGGUUGUAAAGCUCUUUCAGCUGGGAAGAUAAUGACGGUACCAGCAGAAGAAGCCCCGGCUAACUCCGUG
rnacentral:rRNA from 1 species